UGAUCACAAAUACCAUUGAACUUAGCAAGGAAAUAAGUUGAAUUGUGAAUGCAACAAGUUUGCUUUCUGUGUUACCUGUCUAGAGAUAUCUUUCUUUCUCUUGCUUUUUUUAUUACGAAAAUUUUAGUUACUUGAAUGACUUUGUAUCUGCUUUUCCUUGAAUUACUUUAAAGGAAACAUUGGUUAUGCAUUACUGCAGCUUGAAGCAGCUCACGAUAGGGAGAAAGAGUUACUUCAUGAGAUAACUGAACUGCAGUGGAGGCUCUUAUGUACCCAGGAUGAGCUUCAAAAAUUAAAAACAGAAAACGCCCAGGUGUGAUUGUCUUUUUGGAAUCGACACUUGGAUUUGGAUUUCAGAAGUGAUUCCGUUGUUGAAUGCUUGGAUUUCUCAAAUUUAAAUUCUUCAUGGACACCUAAAACAUUUAGGUGCAAGAAGAGAGGAGAAUUUUAACCAGUACUAAUUCAUUGACUAGAUACGGAGUGGUUUGCUACUUGUAGUUUCUUAUAGGUGAUAAUAACUUUGUCAUAGUUCUCCUGUUAGUGCAGAUUCAUUGUUGAUAAUCAUUUUGUAAAUUAUUUUAGCGUUAUUUCCUCCUUGUAAAUUAUGACGCACGUGGAACUUUCUGAACCUAUCUAUACCCACGCUUAGAUUCAUUUAAUUCAACCAGAUACUAUAUUCUUUAGGGUAUAAGCGCUAUAAGAUUUCAAUACUUGCCCUUCCGUGUAAUAAAUCAUGAUCUUGAUAUUCA